CAAGAAUACUUGCUAAUAAUUCAGAGGCUUGAAAGCAAGAUCUUGACUUUAUGUGUCCCAACCAUUGCAGUAAUUCGAGGACAUGCAGUUGGCACAGGCUGCAUUUUUGCAUUGGCACAUGACUAUCGGCUCAUGGCCUCUAACUAUGGUUAUAUUUUCAUGAAUGAGGGCUUCUUAAAUCUAUACAAAAGCUUUUAGCGGCGCUUGUGUAGAAAUUUUACGGCGCUUUUUCAUGAGAAA